rfam:Stegodyphus mimosarum contig53813, whole genome shotgun sequence.
GCCUUCGUGGUUUAACGGUUAGCACACUUGACGCGUAUUCGAGAUGUCCAGGUUCGAGUCCCAGCGAGGGCA